rnacentral:rRNA from 1 species
GACGAACGCUGGCGGCGUGCUUAACACAUGCAAGUCGAACGGAAAGUCCCUGCUUUUUUGGGUUUCUCGAUUUGCGAACGGGUGUGUAACACGUGAGUCACCUGCCCUUUACUUUCGGAUAACUUCAGGUAACUGGGGCUAAUACCUGAUAGGAUCUCCUGCUUCUUGGUGGGCUUUGGAAAUUUUCGGCGGUUGGGGAUGGACUCGCGGCUUAUCAUCUUGUUUGUGGGGUAGUGGCUUACCAAGGCUUUGACGGGUAGACGGCCUGAGAGGGUGACCGGCGACAAUGGGACUGAGAUACGGCGCAGACGGCAACGGGAGGCAGCAGUGGGGAAUAUUGCACAAUGGGGGGAAGCGUGAUGAAGAAACGCCGCGUGCGGGAUGAAGGCCUUCGGGUUGUAAACCGAUUUAGAAUGUGACGAAGAGUGAGUGACGGUAAUGGGUAAAGAAGCACCGGCUAACUACGUG